rnacentral:lncRNA from 1 species
ACUUAAAAGCCCAAUACGAACCUUUCGUAUAAUUAAUUAACUAAUUAAUUAAUCUUGACCAUUCUUCAAUUAACCCAUUUAAUUGCAUAUCCAUUUCAUUUAAUUUCUUCACUAUCGCCCUUACUCGGUGUACGAUCCAUUAGGUUCCAAUUAGCGAGGUAGUGGGCGAUUGUUACUCUUAGCGAUCGAUUGUGAAUUGAAACCACAUUUCAAUU